UCUCCGUUGGUGAACCAGCGGAGGGAUCAUUACAGAGUUGCAAAACUCCCAAACCAUUGUGAACGUUACCUAUCCCGUUGCUUCGGCGGGCGGCCCGGGCCCCGCGCCCGGCGCCCCCCGGCCCCCCGUGGGCGCCCGCCGGAGGUAAACCAAACCCUUGAAUUGCAUGGCCUCUCUGAGUCUUCUGUACUGAAUAAGUCAAAACUUUCAACAACGGAUCUCUUGGUUCUGGCAUCGAGAAGAACGCAGC
rnacentral:misc_RNA from 1 species